UUUGAAAAAAAGACAAAAUAAGUAAAUAAACAAAAAACUAGCCAUACCAUAUCGAUAGGUAUUUCUCUAUUUUAAAAACAAACACGCUUUUUGUCUUAUUUUCUUUGGUUUGUAUAAGAACGUAUGAGUGAACCAAAACAAGUGAUAUAUACGAAUAUUUCUACUUGUUCUGACUUAUUAUAUUAAAAAAAAAGAUUAAAAUUGUUGACAUGCGUAUUUGAGCAAGAGAAAGAAAAAGCAAAAAAAAGUAGCGAAAGAAAAGGCAAAAAAAGUAGCGAAAAAAAAUAGCGAAAAAAAUAGUGAAAAAAAAGGCAAAAAAAAAAAAAGCGAAAGAAAAGGCAAAAAAAAAAAAAGCGAAAGAAAAGGCAAAACAGCAACAGAGCAGUAAUAUAAAAACGUAAGGACUCAAAAAACAUGGGUAACCAUUGUGCUUGCGCACAGGUAAGUAGUGAUAAGCGAAAAAUAAUUUACGAUGAUAACUAUAUGGAAAAUGGAGAUUGGCUUAUGUUAGAUUUGGACAAAUCUAAAGAUCAAAUAAAUGAUAAAAAUGAAGACAAUUAUUUCUAUCAAUAUAUUGAAAAAAAAAAUAAUUCUAAAAGGGAAACAAACGAAGAGAAUGAGAAAAAAGGUAGUGAUAGUAAUAACAGUAGUUAUGGUAAUAAACCUUCUGAAGGUUUAAUGUGUCAAGGAAGAAAGGGUGAGAGAGAAGAGGUGAAACAGUUAAACACUAAUCAAAGGAAUAUCAAAAAAAACUGUAUUAUAAAUGUAAAAAGAAUACUAUUGUACAUAAACGAAUAUCAAGAAGAUUUUUUGAUUUUUUUUAAUAAAAAGAAUGUAAAUAAUAUAUAUAUUUUAAAAUAUUUUGUUAUGAAUUACAAUACAUAUAGUAUGUAUUUAACUUCGGAUGUAAUAUAUAUAGGAGAAAUGAAUGAGUUAAAUAAUAAAAAUGGGCUAGGCAUUAUUAUCACACCUGAUCAGUGCAUAUAUAUUGGUGAGUUUGAAAAUGAUAAGAUAAAUGGUUUUGGUCUGUAUGUACAUUUUUCGAAAAGUAAGUACAUAGGGUAUUGGAAAAAAGGGAAAGCCACAGAUUACGGUAUAUUCAUUAACCCAGAUGGUACCUUUUACAAAGGGUUAUGGUCAAGUGAUAAACAAAAUAAGCGAGGUAUUGAACAUGUAAACAAAAAAUACGUAUUUUUAGGAAAUUACAUAAAAGGAAAUAAAAACGGAUUUGGUGCUUUUAUAUGGCAUAAUGAGUCUAUAUAUAUAGGAAAUAUAAAAAAUAAUCUUUUUUAUAAAUAUGGAGUAUAUUUUUUUAAUAAAAAAAAAAUAUACAUAACUAAAUGGAAAGACAAUUGUAUACAAGGUAAAUGUGAAAUAAUAUGGGUAGAUAAAAAGCAGUUUUUCGGUAAUCAUAAAAAUAAUCUAAAACAAGGAUUAGGUAUAUAUAAAUGGAAUGAUGGUAGAAUUUAUGUAGGUAAUUGGUAUAAUAACAAACAACAUGGUAAUGGUAUUUUUAUUUUAAUUAAAAAUAUUAAAGAAUAUGAAACUUAUAUUAACAAUCCAUUUAUUAUUUUUUUUAAAAAUUCACAACAAAUCAAAAAAUAUAUUAUAACAAAUUUGUUGAAGGAAUCAUUGUUUGAUAGUGGAAAAGUAAAAGAUUUAUUUGAAAAAUUGAUAAAUAAUUAUGAUACCUACGAGUUUUAUAAUUUCUUAUUUGUUUUAUUAUAUGUCAAUUAUUAUCAUAUAUGUUCUAAUUAUUUUUAUUAUAUACAAAAAAAAAAAUUAAAUACAUUUAAAUUUAAUUAUAAAUUUUAUGAAAAAGUAAAGUAUCAUAUUUGUGAAUCUACCAACAAUUAUUUAGAACAAAAUAUGUCUGAUCAGGUAAAUGAUUCUAAUAAACAAAUGCAUUUUAAUGAAACCAAAAAUAAAUCUUCUGUUACUUCUAUCAAUAAAAAUAAUAAUACUAUAAGUGAUGAAAAAACAAAAGUUAGUUAUAUUAUUAAGUGCGAACAAAAACAUAAUAAUAACCAAUUCGAGGACGUAGAAUUGUUAAUAGCGUAUCUAAAUUCAGUAGAUUUAGAUUUAAUGAAAAAAAAUGAUAUUAACAUAACUCAUCCUAUAUUUCAAUAUGCAUCUACAAAUAUUAUCUUAAAAUAUGGUAAGUGGAAACAUGGGGAGUUAAAAAAAUUAAUAUACUCAAGUGAUAACUUAAAUGGUAAUGUCAAACACAUGGACAAAAAAACUAAUGAUCAAACUGAAUUUAAAUUAUACUCGAAAAAUAAAGAUUUUGAAUUAGGUUCUAACAAAAAUUAUAAUCCCGUAAAACAAUUUUUAAGUAACGUAUCACCAUCCGUUAAUAGUUAUAUAUAUAAGGGCAACAGUUAUAGUAGCAACAGUCCGAAAAAAAAAAGAAGGAAAAGUAACAGUUCUAGUAGCAACAGUUCUAGUAGCAACAGUUCUAGUAGCAACAGUUCUAGUAGCAGCAGUUCCAGUAAUAAUAAUUCCAGUAACAGAGCUAGCGACAAUAAUGACGAUGAUGAUGAUGUCAAAGAAUCUCGUCUAUUAGACCAGAAUACUCAUCCUAAACAAAAUACAAAGGCUGCACCUGACCAUGUAUCAACCCAAAAAUUAAAAAAAGUAAAAAAUAUAGUAAAAGUAGAUAAUAUAGAAAAAGCAGAAAAAACAGGAAAAGCAAAAAAAACAGAAAAAGCAGAAAAAGUAAAAAAAACAAAAGAUUAUGUAGAUAAAAAAAACAAUAACCAUCAACAAAGUAAGCAGUUCAAAAAGGAGACCCUCGUUAGUCACAACAUAAAUAGUGACAAUAAUAAUAAUUAUGACUACAAGCUUUUAACAAAGGAAGGUACGAAUACCAAAUCGAAUCUAAAAAAAUAUAAAAACAAAAUUAUAGAACCAAUACCUAACGAUUUACUUCACAUUGAUAAUACCUUGUUAACAAAAAAUAAUACUCUUUUUGUUUUUGAUAAAAAUUUGAGUACUAGUACCAUAUCGUUGAACAAAAAAGAUAGAAAAACCAUUUAUAGUGGAGAUGAUCAUAUAAGUACCGCUCAAAAAAUUAAAAAUAAAAAUGACACAUAUCAUGAUAAUAUUAAUAAUACAAAGGAUAAUUAUGACAGUGCAGUUUGUGUUGAUGAUAGUAACACGUUGGUUAAAAUGAAGGAGAUGGUUGUUAAUAGUGGCAACGGUAGUAAUGUGGAAGAGAAAAAUAAUACAUAUGAUCAUAUAAAAAAGCUUCAAUAUAAGGAACACAAGAAUAGGAUUAGUUUUGAAAAAAUUAGAGCCAUGUUUGAGAACAAUGAAAUCAACUCUUAUAAAAAUAAUAAAACCAAUUCCGAAAAUAAUAAAACCAAUUUCGAAAAUAAUAAAACCAAUUUCGAAAAUAAUAAAACCAAUUUCGAAANNNNNNNNNNNNNNNNNNNNNNNNNNNNNNNNNNNNNNNNNNNNNNNNNNNNNNNNNNNNNNNNNNNNNNNNNNNNNNNNNNNNNNNNNNNNNNNNNNNNAAUAAAAAGGCCAUACAAAUUAAUAACGACUACAAGGAUGAUAAGCGCGAAACUAAUGACACAUAUGAAGAUAAUACAAUUUUGCUACCUAGGGCUAACAGAAAUUAUAAUAUGCAUUCCCAAAAAAAAGUUUCAUCCGUAUCUCUAUCUCGGAAUUCGAAUCAAACAAACGUAAUCGAAAAUGGUAGAAUUGCGUCUGAACCGUAUAUUAUGCGUGGUAACUAUAGUAAUGAAAAUGAAAAUAAAGAAUCAGAUAAUUUAAAUAAAGAUAAAAAA
rnacentral:lncRNA from 1 species